UACGACUACAUAUCAGGCAUAUCAAUAAGCGGAGGAAAAGGAAACUAACAAGGAUUCCCCUAGUAACGGCGAGUGAAGCGGGAAGAGCUCAAAUUUGAAAUCUUAAAGGGUUCUACCUUGACGAAUUGUAGUUUAAAGAAGUGUUUUCUGUUAGAGGAGUUCGGUAAAAGUUCCUUGGAAUAGGGACAUCAUAGAGGGUGAGAAUCCCGUAUUUGACCGUUAUCUUUCCUAGCUUUGUGAUACACCUUUCAAAGAGUCGGAUUGUUUGGGAAUGCAGUCCAAAAUGGGUGGUAAAUUUCAUCUAAAGCUAAAUAUUGGCGAGAGACCGAUAGCGAACAAGUACCGUGAGGGAAAGAUGAAAAGAACUUUGAAAAGAGAGUUAAACAGUACGUGAAAUUGUCAAAAGGGAAGCGUUUGACACCAGUGUUGUUUUUCGAAAAUCAAUUCAAGAGUGGUUUGAUUCUAGUAGUAUUGACUUCAUCAGCUUUCUUCACUUCUUUCUCGAGUAUUAUUGAAUGCACUUUUCAGGUUAACAAGUCAACAUCAAUUUCUUUUGUUGUAAAAGGGUAUAGGAAGGUGGCUUUCUCUUCGGCGCAAGUGUUUAUAGCCUUUAUACCUCUACAAUCGGAGAGAUUGAGGUCUGCAGCGUAGAUCCUUCGGGGUUAGAUACACUUGUGCUAAGCUAUAGCCUUGUAUAGACAACUUGUUGACUAUGCUCAGUCAUGUAGCUUACUCGCUGAUGCUAUUUUACCUACGCUUAGGAUGUUGAUCUACAGAGCGAGAGU
rnacentral:rRNA from 1 species